ensembl:lncRNA
CGACUUGGCUCGGCACUUGCCGCGAGGUCUCGGGCUGCGUGUGGCCUUGCUCUGGGGGCCCCUCCUGAACUGGCCUCCCUGCGUCCACGUCAGGCACGGUGUGUGCCACGGGGUGCAGCACGGGGAAAGCUGCGGCGCGGCCUGUUUGCAGCCAGGUCGCAGUCACAGGAGUCGGCAGCCAGGCCGGAGCAGCUAGACCAGGUGCCCUGAGCCCACAAGAGGGCCUCAGUGCUGACUGCAGGCGCUGGGCAGCUUGGAUGGAACCAUGAGGACCCACAGGAUGCACCCCAACACAUCACAGAAGUCUGCAUAGCUGGCUAGGAACAGCGGUGCGAACUAUAAUCCCA